rnacentral:misc_RNA from 1 species
UAUGAAGAACGUAGCGAAAUGCGAUACUUGGUGUGAAUUGCAGAAUCCCGUGAACCAUCGAGUCUUUGAACGCAAGUUGCGCCCGAAGCCAUUAGGCCGAGGGCACGCCUGCCUGGGCGUCACACGUCGUUGCCCCCCCAUCUACUCCUUCGGGAUUGCGGGGGGCGGAUGAUGGCCUCCCGUGCGCCUCGCCGCGCGGUCGGCAUAAAUGCCAAGUCCUCGGCGACGCACGCCACGACAAUCGGUGGUUGCGAAACCUCGGUUGCCCGUCGUGUGCGGUCGUCGCGCAUCGAGGGCUCGAAAAAAUUGCCGGGUUCCGGCUGGGCUUUCAACGCGACCCCAGGUCAGGCGGGGUUACCCGCUGAAUUUAAGCAUAUCAAUAAGCGGAGGA